rnacentral:rRNA from 1 species
GGGACCCCAGGUCAGACGGACUACUCGCUGAGUUU